rnacentral:rRNA from 1 species
AUUGAACGCUGGCGGCAUGCUUUACACAUGCAAGUCGAACGGCAGCGCGGGCUUCGGCCUGGCGGCGCGUGGCGAACGGGUGAGUAAUACAUCUGAACGUGCCCAGUAGUGGGGGAUAGCUCGGCGAAAGCCGGAUUAAUACCGCAUACGACCUGAGGGUGAAAGCGGGGGAUCUUCGGACCUCGCGCUAUUGGAGCGGCCGAUGGCAGAUUAGCUAGUUGGUGGGGUAAAGGCCUACCAAGGCGACGAUCUGUAGCUGGUCUGAGAGGACGACAGGCCACACUGGGACUGAGACACGGCCCAGACUCCUACGGGAGGCAGCAGUGGGGAAUUUUGGACAAUGGGCGAAAGCCUGAUCCAGCAAUGGCGCGUGUGUGAUGAAGGCCUUCGGGUUGUAAAGCACUUUUGGCGGGAACGAAAAGGACUGUGCCAAUACCACGGUUCGAUGACGGUACCCGCAGAAUAAGCACCGGCUAACUACGUG